CACGUAGGAGGCGAGCGUUGUCCGGAAUCAUUGGGCGUAAAGAGCGCGCAGGCGGCUUGGCAAGUCGGGUGUGAAAUCCCGGGGCUCAACCCCGUGACUGCAUCCGAUACUGUCAGGCUAGAGGUAGGUAGGGGAGAUCGGAAUUCCUGGUGUAGCGGUGAAAUGCGCAGAUAUCAGGAGGAACACCGGUGGCGAAGGCGGCUCACUGGACUGGUAUUGACGCUGAGGUGCGAAAGCGUGGGGAGCAAACAGG
rnacentral:rRNA from 1 species